AUACCAUGAUGAGGACAAUUACGGAUCAACCGAUUGAACCGCAAACAUGACUCAUACAACAACUCACCCGGAAGUUGUUGGAAUUCUCUGAGUGU
rnacentral:snoRNA from 2 species